AGCCUGCGGCUUAAUUUGACUCAACACGGGAAAACUUACCCGGCCCGGACACCGGAAGGAUUGACAGAUUAAGAGCUCUUUCUUGAUUCGGUGGGUGGUGGUGCAUGGCCGUUCUUAGUUGGUGGAGCGAUUUGUCUGGUUAAUUCCGAUAACGAACGAGACUCUAGCCUACUUAAUAGAGAACCGAUUUCCUCUCGUCGGUUACUCUUCUUAGAGGGACAAGCGGCGUUUAGCCGCACGAGACAGAGCAAUAACAGGUCUGUGAUGCCCUUAGAUGUCCGGGGCCGCACGCGCGCUACACUGAAGGAAUCAGCGUGUGUUCACCCUGGCCGAAAGGUCUGGGUAACCCGUUGAACCUCCUUCGUGAUAGGGAUAGGGGCUUGUAACUAUUCCCCUUGAACGAGGAAUUCCCAGUAAGCGCGAGUCAUAAGCUCGCGUUGAUUACGUCCCUG
rnacentral:rRNA from 2 species